GACGAACGCUGGCGGCGUGCUUAACACAUGCAAGUCGAACGGAAAGGCCCUGCUUUUGUGGGGUGCUCGAGUGGCAAACGGGUGAGUAACACGUGAGUAACCUGCCCUUGACUUUGGGAUAACUUCAGGAAACUGGGGCUAAUACCGGAUAGGAGCUCCUGCUGCAUGGUGGGGGUUGGAAAGUUUCGGCGGUUGGGGAUGGACUCGCGGCUUAUCAGCUUGUUGGUGGGGUAGUGGCUUACCAAGGCUUUGACGGGUAGCCGGCCUGAGAGGGUGACCGGCCACAUUGGGACUGAGAUACGGCCCAGACUCCUACGGGAGGCAGCAGUGGGGAAUAUUGCACAAUGGGCGGAAGCCUGAUGCAGCAACGCCGCGUGCGGGAUGACGGCCUUCGGGUUGUAAACCGCUUUCGCCUGAGACGAAGCGUGAGUGACGGUAAUGGGUAAAGAAGCACCGGCUAACUACGUG
rnacentral:rRNA from 1 species